GCCGCGGUGACGGAACUGGCAGACGUUCACGACUCAAAAUCGUGCGAGGUAACCCCUCAUGUGGGUUCGACUCCCACCCGCGGCA
rnacentral:tRNA from 1 species